rnacentral:rRNA from 1 species
AGGAAGUAAAAGUCGUAACAAGGUUUCCGUAGGUGAACCUGCGGAAGGAUCAUUAUUGAAAUAAACCUGAUGGGUUGCUGCUGGUUCUCUAGGGAACAUGUGCACACUUGUCAUCUUUAUAUCUCCACCUGUGCACCUUUUGUAGACCUGGAUAUCUCUCUGAAUGCUUGCAUUCAGGUUUGAGGAUUGACUUUGCUGGCUCUCCUUACAUUUCCAGGCCUAUGUUUAUUCAUAUACUCCAAUGUAUGUUAUAGAAUGUAUCAAAUGGGCCUUUGUGCCUAUAAACCUAUACAACUUUCAGCAACGGAUCUCUUGGCUCUCGCAUCGAUGAAGAACGCAGCGAAAUGCGAUAAGUAAUGUGAAUUGCAGAAUUCAGUGAAUCAUCGAAUCUUUGAACGCACCUUGCGCUCCUUGGUAUUCCGAGGAGCAUGUCUGUUUGAGUGUCAUUAAUAUGUCAACUUCUUCAGCUUUUGCUUGUUGAGUGUUGGAUGUGGGGGGUUUCUUUUGCUGGUCUCACUUACGAGGUCAGCUCCCCUGAAAUGCAUUAGCGGAACAAAUGUGUUGAUCGUUCAUUGGUGUGAUAACUAUCUACGCUAUUGACGUGAGGCAGUUCAGCUUCUAACAGUCCAUUGACUUGGACAAAUUUUCAUUAAUGUGACCUCAAAUCAGAUAGGACUACCCGCUGAACUU